rnacentral:sRNA from 1 species
ACAACUGUGGCUGUUCGGGGCAUACAAGCCCAGGGCUCCCUGAGGUCCCAGGCUUAGGGGUAGAAGCUCCAGCAGAAAAGAAAAAUAACUGCCCUGGAGAUUAUUUUAUGGACCGAGUCCUUUAUAUAACCCUGUCAUUUUCACUGUGACUGUAGAGAGCUGAGUAUGGAUUUUCCUAAGGACAGGAGCUAAACUAGAGCCUGGAAUCCUCCUGGACAUGGUAUCUUACCCAAAAGUAGAGUGAAAUGGGUGCCAUUAAAACAUACAGCUGUAAAGAGAAGGACCUUGCCUCCCUUCUGCAAGAGCCUCUGAGGAGACUGCCUGCUUGCCUGCUUUCUGAAGGAAGUUAAGGAAGACACAAGAUUCUAGAAGAAGCCCAGAAAGAACUACAUUCUGGAUCCAAAGAAAACAAGGUGCAGUCCCUAGAGCACCUACUGAUUCAAAAACUCUGCAGUCACGGACUUGAAGGACUCAUGAGGACAUUUGAACAAGGAAGAUCAAGGAUAAGAGUCCAAAAAGAGUGGUGAGAGCAGGUUUGAGCUGGCAGUGUCUAUCAGCGAGGCAUGCAGUCAACAUGUCUCCCUAUAGCAACAUGUGCAAAACAUACACACACACACACACACACACACACACACACACACACACACACACACAGAGUCUGGCUAACCAAGGAAACUUGUCCACGACUCAGGGUAAAUGGUUUUCCUUGGCAUUGAUCAUAUACAUAUAUGGUGGUAUGGUGAAUUGAAUGAAAAAUUGGCCCCCAGAAGAUCACAGGGUGUGACACUAUUAGAAGACGUGGCCUUGUUGGAGGAAGUGCGCCCCAUUCACUUCCUGAUGCCUGCUGAUCCAGGUGUCUCAGCUUCUUUCCAGCACCAUGUCUGCCUGCACACUCUCCUGCUUCCCACUAUAACAAGAAUGGACUAAACCCCUGAAACUGUAAGCCAGCCUCAAUGAAAUGCUUUCUUUUCUCAGAGUUGCCAUGGUCAUAGUGUCUCUUUGCAACAAUAGAAACACUAACUAAGACAUUUAGCCUCCAACAAUUGCAAAAUCGUUGAUACUUUUCAGGCUAAGGCGCUAGCAUAAAUCCUACUGUUUGCAUAAACAAUCUGGCCUGGCACCGGAUCCCAGGUAAACAGACCUUCUUAUAGACAGAACAUUCCCAGAGCUCAGAGCUUAUCUCCUAGGAGCUGGAAAUGGGGUCAAAACUUUAUUUGGACAAAAUAAAUCCCUCACUGAAGACAUGCUUUCCUGUCCCACGAUAUCAGGCUUUAGACUCUUGUAUCUUGUUAAUAAAAUGGACAAUUAAGUAUGGGCCUGCAUAAUUCAAUAGCUGGCAGCAUGCUAAUUCUCAAAGAGUGGUAAUUAGUAAAUUUCACUAGGGUAGAGUGUGUUUCCUAACAUCAUCAGAAUCCCAUGAUGUUUUUAUUCAAUAUUUAUAUCAAUGAUUUUCGUGAAAAUAAAUGUUAUAUGCUUGUCAGUUUUCUGAUGACACCAGUUGAGAAAGGUAGAAAUACAUCCGAUGACACAGUUGGGCUCCAGAAAGAUGUCAGCAGCCUUGAGUGAUGAACCAGGUCUACAGGAUAAAACAGAUCAGAGUCAGGUGCCAGCUCCUUUCCUGGGCCCUCAACACUAGUGCUGUAAAACUAAAGUUGGACAACUGGUGAACUGGUAUUGAAUGUGGAAAAGACUUGUUGGUUAGCCAGAGGUGAGACCAGGUUGUCAGCACGGCCCUAUAUUUCCAAUGUGCUACUGCAAUCCAAAACCAUCACACUUGAAAAGGGGAUAAAUGUUGUAUCUGUUAUCAAGAAGAAGAGAGGCUGAAUGGAGAUCUCAUCUGGAGAGGACCAGUGUGGUACCCAGCAUUGAGAAGGUGUAUCAGAGAAACCGGCUGUUAUCAUUCAGGACAGCAGCAGAAGGAUUAUUCUAACUCUGACAGAAGAGUCCCAGGCUGCUCAAAUGUGCCCUGCUUCUAGUUCAGUGUUUCUCAGUGUUCUUAAAGCUGCAACCCUUUAAAAUACAGUUCCUCAUGCAGUGGUAACCCACACCAAUAAAAUUAUUUUUGUUACUA